GGGUUAGUGGUCUAGUGGUAUGAUUCUCGCUUCGGGUGCGAGAGGUCCGGGGUUCGAUUCCCCGCUAACCCC
rfam:Trichinella pseudospiralis scaffold204s, whole genome shotgun sequence.